AGCGAACGCUGGUGGCAGGCCUAACACAUGCAAGUCGAACGAUCCUUCGGGAUAGUGGCGGACGGGUGAGUAACACGUGGGAACGUGCCCUUUGGUUCGGAACAACUCAGGGAAACUUGAGCUAAUACCGAAUGUGCCCUUCGGGGGAAAGAUUUAUCGCCAUUGGAGCGACCCGCGUCUGAUUAGCUAGUUGGUGAGGUAAUGGCUCACCAAGGCGACGAUCAGUAGCUGGUCUGAGAGGAUGAUCAGCCACACUGGGACUGAGACACGGCCCAGACUCCUACGGGAGGCAGCAGUGGGGAAUCUUGCGCAAUGGGCGAAAGCCUGACGCAGCCAUGCCGCGUGAAUGAUGAAGGUCUUAGGAUUGUAAAAUUCUUUCACCGGGGACGAUAAUGACGGUACCCGGAGAAGAAGCUCCGGCUAACUUCGUGCCAGCCGCCGCAGUAACAC
rnacentral:rRNA from 1 species